rnacentral:rRNA from 1 species
AACGAACGCUGGCAGCGUGGAUUAGGCAUGCAAGUCGAACGAGAUUCCUAGAGAUAGCAAUAUUUUGGGAUGACAGUGGCGAAAGGGCGAGUAACACGUGGGCAAUCUACCGUCAAGUAGGGGAUAACCCGCCGAAAGGUGGACUAAUACCCGAUGGGGUCCUCCGGCGCAUGCUGGGGUGAUUAAAGGUGGGGAUCGAAAGACCUGCCGCUUGAUGAGGAGCCCGCGUCCCAUCAGCUAGUUGGUGAGGUAACGGCCCACCAAGGCUUACGGGUAGCUGGUCUGAGAGGAUGGUCAGCCGCACUGGGACUGAGACACUGCCCAGACUCCUACGGGAGGCAG